GCCUUUGUGGUGUAGUGGUCAGCACGCUAGAUGAGUAACCGAGAGGUCCAUGGUUCGAUUCCCGGCGAAGGCG
rnacentral:tRNA from 1 species